AAUUUGUGCUGCGGACAUUUGUGAAUUAACAUCUUGAAACAUUCCCACUCCUUAUAAAAACUUUCUCCCCCAAUUUGUCUAAAGACAAAAAUCUCUCAUCUUAGUU
rnacentral:snoRNA from 1 species